rnacentral:rRNA from 1 species
GAUGAACGCUGGCCGCGUGCCUAAUACAUGCAAGUCGAGCGAACUGACGAGGAGCUUGCUCCUCUGACGUUAGCGGCGGACGGGUGAGUAACACGUGGAUAACCUAUCUAUCAGACUGGGAUAACUUAGGGAAACCGGAGCUAAUACCGGAUAAUAUAUUGAACCUCAUGGUUCAAUAGUGAAAGCCGGCUUUGCUGUCACUUAUCGACGGAUCCGCGCCGCAUUAGCUAGUUGGUAAGGUAACGGCUUACCAAGGCGACGAUGCGUAGCCGACCUGAGAGGGUGAUCGGCCACACUGGAACUGAGACGCGGGCCAGACUCCUACGGGAGGCAGCAGUAGGGAAUCUUCCGCAAUGGGCGAAGACCUGGCGGAGCAACGCCGCGUGAGUGAUGAAGGUCUGCGGAUCGUAAAACUCUGUUAUUAGGGAAGAACAAAUGUGGAAGUAACUAUGCACGUCUUGACGGUACCUAAUCAGAAAGCCACGGCUAACUACGUG